AUUGAACGCUGGCGGCAUGCUUUACACAUGCAAGUCGAACGGUAACAGGCCGCAAGGUGCUGACGAGUGGCGAACGGGUGAGUAAUGCAUCGGAACGUGCCCAGUCGUGGGGGAUAACUGCUCGAAAGAGCAGCUAAUACCGCAUACGAUCUAUGGUUGAAAGCGGGGGACCGUAAGGCCUCGCGCGAUUGGAGCGGCCGAUGUCAGAUUAGGUAGUUGGUGGGGUAAAGGCUCACCAAGCCAACGAUCUGUAGCUGGUCUGAGAGGACGACCAGCCACACUGGGACUGAGUCACGGCCCAGACUCCUACGGGAGGCAGCAGUGGGGAAUUUUGGACAAUGGGGGCAACCCUGAUCCAGCAAUGCCGCGUGCAGGAAGAAGGCCUUCGGGUUGUAAACUGCUUUUGUACGGAACGAAACGGUCUGGGUUAAUACCCUGGGCUAAUGACGGUACCGUAAGAAUAAGCACCGGCUAACUACGUGCCAGCCGCCGCCGUAACAC
rnacentral:rRNA from 1 species